rnacentral:lncRNA from 1 species
GCCAGUUCACAGAACAGCCCAUGAACACAGCAUUGUUUUGAGUAUGCUGAAGAAAAUUCCCGAGUUAGUCUCUCAGCUCAGUGGUGAACAUCUGAAAAUCAUUAGUAAGAAAGUCUUUUCUGAAACCUGGAUAAAAGGAAGCACAGUUAUUGCUGAUGAUGGGCUUUAUGUCAUACUGAAGGGCCUGGUUCAACCUCGUAUAAAAGUAUUAAGAAGUCUGAAUGAAGAAAGCGACUCCAUCAUCUCUUCAAUAUCCAGGGAAAGCUAUAGUUUUGAUGCCGACUUAAUAGACUCUACACUGGCUGAGAUAUACGUGCCUUCACGGGAGAUAUUGUCAUACUUUGCCAACCAGGGUAAAGAGAGUUUUCUGCCAUAUUGUCAAAGAAAAUAUUUUACUAUCUGACCUUGAAUGCAGCCAGCAUGACAUGUGUCCACUCAUAGGUUUGGAUAAUGAGUAAACCUGGCAUCAUGGUACUAUGUAUGAGAUAUGUCAUGUAAGUAGUUUAAUCAUAAUUUUUCUACCCAAAGUUUCAGAGGGACUGAUCUAAUCUAUUUCUAAGAUAGUUAUUUUUAGUCAAUUUGUGCCUUAUGUCUGUGCAUCUGUCUGUGUGUGCAGGUGUCUGUGGAUGCCAGUAGAGGACAUCAUAUAUCCUUUGAGCAAUAUAAAAAGAUAAAAGUUACUGUAUGGCACUUUCCCCUACUAACAACAUAUAUUGUAUAAUUUUCUCCUGAGAUUCUUGACAGCUUUUGCAAAAUACAAUAGC